rnacentral:tRNA from 1 species
UUGUUUGUAGUCCAAUGGUUUGGGUUAUUGCCUUCCAAGCAAUAGGCACGGGUUUGAUCCCCGACAAACGCA